rnacentral:lncRNA from 1 species
GGGGGAUCUGCCAGUCAUAAGAGGAGGGCGGUUUUUCCGGAAUCCAUUUCGCUGGUUCCCUGUAAUUAAGCAGGAUUAAGUGAUUUGUCCCCUGUGCUGCUGGGUACUGUGAAGGAAGCUCAGGCAAGUUCUGAAAGUGCGACAUGAUGAGGAUAUUGUCACUUCCCACAGAGAAUGCAGUGACGUACAAUGAUGUACUGGUGAGCUUUACUCAGGAAGAAUGGGCUUUGCUGGAUCCUUCCCAGAAGAGUCUCUACAAAGAUGUGAUGCUCGAAACCUAUAAGAACCUCACUGCCAUAGGCUAUAACUGGGAAGAUGAUAAUAUUGAAGAAGAUUGUGAAAAUUCUGGACGAUCCAGAAGGCAUCUUCAAAGGGAUGGACCAAGUAAUACUGCAGAGAAACCCUUUGAAUAUAUUCAAUAUGAUGGAGCCUUUGCAAGAAACCAUCAUCAUCAGUUACAUAAGAGCACUGGAUCUUUCAUGUCUUAUACUGAUCAUCAAAUACAUAGAAGAGAACACACUGAAGAAAAAUUCUAUGAUGGUAACCAAUGUGGUAAAACCUUUUCAUGUCACAGCCAUUUUGAAAUUCGUAAAGGAACAUAUACUGGAGAAAAACCCUAUGAAUGUAAUCAAUGUGGGAAAACCUUUGCAGGUCACAGCAAUCUUCAAAUCCAUAAAAGAAUACAUACUGGAGAGAAACCCUAUAAAUGUAAGCAAUGUGGCAAAGACUUUACACAUCACAGUACUCUUCAUAUCCAUAAAAGAAUACAUACUGGAGAGAAACCCUAUAAAUGUAACCAAUGUGGCAGAACCUUUGCACAAUUUGGUCAUCUUCAAUGUCAUAAAAUAACACAUACUGGAGAGAAACUCUAUCAAUGUAACCAAUGUGGGAAAGCCUUUACAUAUUCCAAAACUCUUAAAAUCCAUAAAGAAGAAACACAUACUGGAGAGAAACCCUAUGAAUGUAAUCAAUGUGGCAAAGCCUUUGCAUGUCGCAGAUAUCUUCGAAUCCAUAAAAAAACACAUACUGGAGAGAAACCCUAUGAAUGUAACCAAUGUGGCAAAGCCUUUGCAUAUCACAGAACUCUUCAGAUCCAUAAAAGAAAACAUACUGGAGAGAAACCCUAUGAAUGUAACCAAUGUGGCAAAGCCUUUGCAUAUCAUAAAACUCUUCAAAUCCAUGAAAGAACACACACUGGAGAGAAACUCUAUCAAUGUAACCAAUGUGGCAAAGCCUUUGCAUAUCACAGAACUCUUCGAAUCCAUAAAAGAACACAUACUGGAGAGAAACUCUAUGAAUGUAAUCAAUGUGGCAAAGCCUUUGCAUGUCUUGGAAAUCUUCAAAAACAUAAAACAACACAUACUGGAGAGAAACCCUAUGAAUGUAACCAGUGUGGCAAAGCCUUUAAACAAUAUGUUCAUCUUCAGUGUCAUCAAAGGAUACAUACUGGAGAGAAACCCUAUGAAUGUAAACAAUGUGGCAAAGCUUUUACAUGUCACAGUAGUCUUCAAAUCCAUAAAAGAACACACACUGGAGAGAAACCCUAUGAAUGUAAUCAAUGUGGCAAAGCCUUUGCAGGUCACAGCAAUCUUCAAAGACAUAAAAGAACACAUACUGGAGAGAAACUCUAUGAAUGUAAACAAUGUGGUAAAGCAUUUACAUGUCACAGUUAUCUUAAAAUCCAUGAAAGGAGACAUACUGGAGAGAAACCCUAUGAAUGUAAACAAUGUGGCAAAGCCUUUGCAUGUUACAAAUCUUUUCAAAUCCAUAAAAGAACACAUACCGGAGAAAAACCCUAUGAAUGUAAUCAAUGUGGCAAAGCCUUUGCAUGUCGCAGAUACCUUCAAAUCCAUAAAAGAACACAUACUGGAGAGAAACCCUAUGAAUGUAAACAAUGUGGCAAAGCCUUUGCAUAUCACAGAACUCUUCAAGUCCAUAAAAGAACACAUACUGGAGAGAAACCUUAUGAAUGUAAUCAAUGUGGCAAGGCCUUUGCAUGUCACAGAUAUCUUCAAAUGCAUAUAAGAACACAUACUGGAGAGAAACCCUAUGAAUGUAACCAGUGUGGCAGAGCCUUUACACAAUUUGUUCAUCUUCAAUGUCAUGAAAUAACACAUACUGAAGAGAAACCCUAUGAAUGUAACUAAUGUGGCAAAACCUUUAAACGUCACAGUACUCUUCAAAUCCAUAAAAGAACACAUAGUGGAGAAAAACCGUAUGAAUGUAAUUAAUGUGGCAAAGUCAUUGCAGGUCACAGUACUCUUCGAAAUCAUAAAAGAAUACAUACUAGAGAAAAAAUCUAAUAAAGCCAUUUGUUAGCAGUCACCUCCUAAGGGAUGCAACAUAGUUUGUGGGAAUAUAGUGGGUGGGUUUUUCUGAUUCUUUUGCCUUCUUUCGAGAUGGUUCUUGUCUUAAUUAUUUUCUUUGCUAGGUUUCAUAUGAGGGUUUGUGCCUAUUUUUAUUAAAAUAUGGUAUGCCUUGUUCAUUUGAUAUCCCCAA